rnacentral:rRNA from 1 species
GGAAUACAUAGAUAACUUACCCUCAGGUCUGGGACAUACACGGGAAACUGUGUGCAAUACUGGACGUUGUUGUUGGAACUCAUGUUCUGACUACUAAAGCUGAGGCGCCUGGGGAGAGGUCUAUGUCCUAUCAGCUAGUUGGUGAGGUAACGGCUCACCAAGGCUACGACGGGUAGGGGGCGUGAGAGCGUGGCCCUCGUCACCGGCACUGAGACACUGGCCGGACACCUACGGGUGGCUGCAGUCGAGAAUCUUCCACAAUGGACGAAAGUCUGAUGGAGCGACGCCGCGUGGUGGAUGACGGCCUUCGGGUUGUAAACACCUGAGAUGGAAGGGAAUAAUGACCCAACCAUUAAGGAAGCACGGGCUAAGUUCGUGCCAGCAGCCGCGGUAAGACGAACCGUGCAAACGUUACUCGGAAUUAUUGGGCUUAAAGCGCACGUAGGCGGCGACGUAAGUUAGAGGUGAAAUCCCAUCGGCUCAACCGUGGAAUUGCCCCUAAUACUGCGUUGCUUGAGGGAGACAGGGGCAAGUGGAACCACCAGUGGAGCGGUGAAAUGUGUUGAUAUUGGUGGGAACGCCGGUGGCGAAAGCGACUUGCUGGUUCUUUUCUGACGCUGAGGUG